rnacentral:lncRNA from 1 species
UAUAAGUAAAUGUAGCCAACCUACUAAUAAUUUGUCCUCUGUGGCUUGGCAAAUACCUAAAUGUACACGCAAAACCCCAUCAUCAAACUAUCUUCUUCCUUCUCUUCUUUACCUCUGCUUCAUUCUCUUCUCUCCUCUGCUUUGAUCUGUGUUUUUUUAAGUCAUACAGCCAUCACUGCCAAGCCGUGACCACACCACCUCCUCGCCACUCAGACUCUGCCGUCACCAUGACCCUACCACCAUUUCUCAACCGUGCUAUAACAACUUUCAUUAUACUCAUGAUAAUAGGGUUUUUGCCUAUUGCAAAUGUUGUAGUAUAGUGGGGUGAAUGUUGAACCAGUCCUAGUG